rnacentral:rRNA from 1 species
UACGUAGGGUGCAAGGCGUUGUCCGGAAUUAUUGGGUCGUAAAGAGCUCGUAGGCGGUUUGUCGCGUCGAAUGUGAAAUCCCGGGGCUCAACCCCGGGCCUGCAUUCGAUACGGGCAGACUAGAGUUCGGUAGGGGAGUCUGGAAUUCCUGGUGGUAGCGGUGAAAUGCGCAGAUAUCAGGAGGAACACCGGUGGCGAAGGCGGGACUCUGGGCCGAUACUGACGCUGAGGAGCGAAAAGCGUGGGGAGCAAACAGG